UCUGCGUUUUUUCAGGCUUCUCUCUCUCUCUCUCUACCUCUUAAUUUGCCCUUUACGUUCUCAUCUCUCUCUUCAGUUGGGUAUUUGUGGCACUCUUCCUCUGGGUUGGUACUACAGAGUUUGAUGGAGAGUGGGCUUCCUAAGGCUAUUUCUUUUCAAACCCUUGCCUCUGUUAAAUAAAAGGCGAAAAUUUUCUCAAUGAUAACAAGUUCCCCAAAACCAGAGAAGAGUUCAACGGUCGAGUUCAAAUGAAAGGAAAUGGCUGCCAAACUCAUCUCGUUGCCCGCCAAACCAUUCCCGCCCCUGCUUCUUUCUUCUCCUCCCAGGUCUAUAUUGAGUGGGUUCCCUUCACCUUCCUCAAUCCGAUGCAAAAUUUCCAACUUUGCAGCACCCGCAGAACCUGGUUUGACCUCAAAGUCCAAACUUGAUGAAGAAAAAGAGGAACUUUCCUGGGAAUCAUACAACAAUUUGAUCCAAGCCCACUGUACCAGUGGCUCCAUUGACAAAUCCAUUGAUCUACUUGGCCAGAUGGAGGCACAGGGAAUGUAUCCUAGUAUUCUCUCGUAUUCCUGCAUGAUUGAUGUCCUUGGAUGCCAUGGUAGAACCCUGGAGGCUGACGCGAUUUUUCAAGAGAUGAAGUGGCUUGGCCUCCGACCUAGCCAAAGGGAUUACAACUUUCUUCUUAAAGGGUUCUUGCGGAAGGGACAGUUGCUUCUGUCUGAUAAGUUAUUGGUGGAGAUGAGUGAAGGGGGAAUUGAGAGGGACAGAGAGACUUACAUUCUUCUCCUUGAUGCCUAUGUCCAUGGUGGCAGGUUGGAGGACACUUGGUGGGUUCUUGGAGAGAUGAAGAAGAGAAAAUUUCGAUUGGAUUCCUCUGUUUAUAGCAAAAUGGUUAGGAUAUAUAGGGAUAAUGGCAUGUGGAAGAAGGCAAUGAAUCUUGUCAUGGAGAUGCAAGAAAAGGGGAUUGUGCCAUAUAGAAGGUUUUAUAAUGAUUUAAUAGAUACUUUUGGUAAAUAUGGCGAGAUUGAUGAAGCUCUCAAGGUGUUUGAUAAAAUGUUGAGCCAAGGUGUGAAGCCUGACAUCAUGACUUGGAACUCUUUGAUUCGAUGGCAUUGUAAGGCUGGAGAUUUGAAACGAGCUCUUGGUUUCUUCUCUAAGAUGCAAGAAGAGGGACUAUACCCUGACCCCAAGAUCUUUCUUGACAUUGUUAGUCGAUUAGGAGAGCAAGGCAAGUGGGAUCAAAUAAGAAAUAUAUUUGAGAGCAUGAAAUGCAGAGGUUUUGGUAAAAGUGGAAUUAUUUAUGCCAUCAUUGUUGACAUAUAUGGACAAUAUAAGAGCUUCCAGGAUUCUAGGAAGUGUAUCUCUGCUCUUAAGGCAGAAGGCUUGCAGCUCUCAGCUAGUGUUUUCUGUGUACUAGCAAAUGCUUAUGCUCAGCAGGGUUCAUGCGAACAAACUAUCGAAGUACUUAAGUUGAUGGAAGAGGAAGGAAUUGAGCCAAAUCUUAUAAUGUUGAACUUAUUGAUAAAUGCAUUUGGUAUUACUGGAAGAUACAAGGAAGCAGUUGCUAUUUUUGAGCAAAUUAAGGAAACUGGCAUCAGUCCAGAUGUCAUAACCUACACCACACUCAUGAAGGCUUUCAUCAGAGCGAGAAAGUAUGACCAGGUGCCAAUAAUAUAUAAACAAAUGGAGUAUGCCGGCUGCACUCCUGAUAGAAAAGCGAGGGAGAUCCUACAGAAUGCCUUAAUUGCUCUCGAACAACGACGUGGUCGCAUAGUGAGUUAAACAUCAUUUAGUGGUGUUAUAUGACAAAUCCACUAACGCUGUUAUUCAUCCUGGAAGAAUUUUUCAUCACUAGGCCACCCAUCCCAUAAUUGCUCCGGAAUGAGCACACUUAAUUGCAGAGUUUCUUAUGGAAAUUCCAAUCAUUACACCAAAAGGUACCUCGAUGUUGAAGAGUUAGUUUUCUUUUACUCAAGGGGUUUCACAAUCUCCCCCGCUUAAGUAACUUACGUCCUCGUCAGCAUAUUUAUCCUAGAAUCAUCCACCAGGCAGAUAAGACUCUACAGGUGGCCCCUAUAAGCUCAAGUGGUGGCUCCCGUCAUGUAACACUUUGUCCCAUGCAUGAUUCAAGAGGUGUCUCCCAUGACGUAGCACUUUGUCUUGUUUGACACUUACUCCCAUCUUCUGGUUGGUGUAAUGUUCUGAUUUUAUUUGUAACUUACCGAACUCUUAACUAUAGAGAUAUUGUCCUCGUUGGCCUAAGAACCUCAUAGUUUUGUCAUGUUGGUGUAAUUUUCCAGUAGGUCAUCCAUCCCAGAAUUGCUCCAGGAUGUGCACACUUAACUGCAGAGUUUCUUAUGAAAAUUCUAGUCAUUAUACCAAAAUGUGCCUUGAUGUUUAAG